rnacentral:rRNA from 1 species
UACGUAGGGGGCAAGCGUUGUCCGGAUUUAUUGGGCGUAAAGAGCGUGUAGGCGGCUUUACAGGUCCGUUGUGAAAACUCGAGGCUCAACCUCGAGACGCCGGUGGAAACCGUAAGGCUAGAGUCCGGAAGAGGAGAGUGGAAUUCCUGGUGUAGCGGUGAAAUGCGCAGAUAUCAGGAGGAACACCUGUGGUGUAGACGGCUCUCUGGACAGUAACUGACGCUGAGACACGAAAGCGUGGGUAGCAAACAGG